rnacentral:rRNA from 1 species
GAUAAACGCUGGCGGCGUGCCUAACACAUGCAAGUCGAACGUCCUCGUCUCCGCAAGGGGAUGAGGGAGUGGCGGACGGGUGAGUACCACGUGAGUGAUCUGCCUUGAGGUGAGGAAUACCGGCGAGAAAUCGCCGACAAGACCGCAUAGGAUGGCUCUUUUGAGAGGGAGUCUUCAAAGUGUUCCGCAAGGGACAUGCCUCAAGAUGAGCUUGCGCCCGAUUAGCUGGUUGGUGGGGUAAUGGCCUACCAAGGCGACCAUCGGUAGCUGGUCUGAG